rnacentral:rRNA from 1 species
GUGGGGAAUAUUAGGCAAUGGGCGAAAGCCUGACCUAGCAACGCCGCGUGAAGGAAGAAGGCCUUCGGGUUGUAAACUUCUUUUAUGAGGGACGAAGGACGUGACGGUACCUCAUGAAUAAGCCACGGCUAACUACGUGCCAGCAGCCGCGGUAAUACGUAGGUGGCGAGCGUUGUCCGGAUUUACUGGGUGUAAAGGGCGCGUAGGCGGACUGGCAAGUCAGAUGUGAAAUACAGGGGCUCAACCCCUGAACUGCAUUUGAAACUGUUGGUCUUGAGUAUCGGGGAGGCAAGCGGAAUUCCUAGUGUAGCGGUGAAAUGCGUAGAUAUUAGGAGGAACACCAGUGGCGAAGGCGGCUUGCUGGACGACAACUGACGCUGAGGCGCGAAAGCGUGGGGAGCAAACAGGAUUAGAAACCCGGGUAGUCC